rnacentral:lncRNA from 1 species
GAAAAGAAAACUGAAUAAUACUCUAUUUUUCUACAAUGAAUCUAGAAGAAAAAGAAAAGACCAAAUAUAGGAUUACUUGAAUGAGACAAAAAAGAUGGAAUUUGGAGGACAAGACAAGAGAUACUAAGAAGAGUAAACCCAAUAAACAGACUGCAGCACAGAAAGGGUCCAGGACCAGGGAGGUGGCUUGUUCAGGAAAGAGUUAACUCAACAGGUCUGGGAUAUUCAAAUCCCACACAUUUCGAAAAAAAGUUCUCUCCUCAUUGGCUCCUGGGAGAAAAUCUCUACGUCUUUGGACUAUUCUUCCAGAUUGGAGACUGAAAAGAAGAGAAGUUAAGGAACUUGUCUAAGAUUAUCAAGCAAAAAUUUAAAGCUGAAGUUUCAAUAUUUUCUCAGAAAACAAGAAAAGUUAGUGAUCUCAUUAUAGAAAGACUGUUACAGUGGCUUCAGCAGAGUCAGUGGUUGUGUCAACAGCAUCUGGAGCAGAGAGGGCAAGCUUAGUUCAUAUGAAGCAGCAAUAGCAACAGAAGAAAAGGCAGUGACAUCACCCUCAGCUUGUUGGAGGAGCCUAUGGGCCAGCUAAUGAAAAAUACAGGAGUCUGAAUAGCAGGGGAAAGCUCUGGGUGUCAGCAAUAUAUUCAAGUAGAGAUAAACAGAAGAAGAUGUGAAGAAGUCAAUGAUAGGGUAGUAGUUCUGAACUUACCUGGUGACUAUGCCAAAUGGACAAUCAUUCAGAAAUCAGGCUCUGGGAGGUUUUUCUAUCUUCAGUAAUGCCUUCUAAGGUUUUUUGGGAAUCAUCUCCAUUCCAGCUAAUGAGAAAAGGAAGAGAGUAUUUUGGGUGUCUGGGAUUUCCUCUCUGGCACUCAUUCUCCUGUCACCCUGUGAAGAGGUGCCUUCUGCCAUGAUUAGAAGUUUCCUGAGAACUCCCCAGCCAUGCU